rnacentral:misc_RNA from 1 species
CUGGCAAAGAGAUGUCUACAAAUGAAGGGAAAUUGAUACAAAUAACUGAAUGAAAUGAUAAUUGCCUACAUCCGAGCUUUGAUCGAAUAUGGCUAUCAUUAUAUUUACUAUCCUUUUACAAUUGCAAGAAUCGAAACAAAACGAAAGAAUUCAUAUGGCUCUACAGCUUUUUCGUCGAUAUCAAUGAAAGAACAAGCAAGAUUGUUUGGUUAACGGGCAAGAGAUCCAAAGCCAUUGACAAGCGCAUGAGCUCUGGGAUUAAAGGCCAGUCUCCCCAAUAUACCUUGUUUAUAUGGCAAGAAAGUUUUCUUUUUCAAAUCCUCUGAUGCUGCUUUAUUCUUCGUGUAAUGCAACUCGUGAGCCGACACUGGCCCCUUUCUCCUCGAUGCUGCCGACACUGAACCCGAGCUGUCUGUGGACCGGAAGCUCGUGUUCUUUGCAUCUUCGGGUUUCCUGAAGAAAGAUGGAUACUUGGUCCUCAAAGGAUCUUUAUCCGCUGCUCUUCCCUCAGAUGCGCUUCUGAACAGCAAGAAAUCCCUCAACCUCCACUUUCUUGAAGAACUCUUUGUAGUUGAAGAAGAAGAAGAAGAAUUUGAUGACACUGAAGCUUUUGAAUUUGAAGCUGCUGAUUGUUUUGUGGUUUCCCGUAGCUUUCUUUCUUCUUCUUCCCACGGAUAUUCUGAAACUCUAUAUGGAGAAAGCGAUCUUGUAGCUCUGCGGCUGGAACUCGAUGCUAACGCUGGACCUCUCUCUCUACCUCUAUCAUUUUCAGUUCUCCUUCGACCAUCAUUCUCGGUUCUCUUUCGAGUAUUUUCAACAGCAAUAGCAAACGGAUCUGAAUCUUUCUUCUUUCUCGGAGAAAAAACCUCACUUAUAAUCCUUUUCCCUUGAGCUAUAGGUGAUCUGGGUGACCUCGGUGAUAAAAGCGGACUUCUCUCCUCCGUCUGUAAUCUAGGAGGAGGCUUCAAGGGCCGGAUUUUGCCACCGUCAAAAAGUUCUUCAGCGGAGAGAGAAUUCUCUUGCAGUUCAGACCUGAAAUCAAAAGCGAAAUCAUCUCCACCACUAUUAUUAGGCGCAGCAGCAGCCUUGGGCGAUACAGGUGUAGAGUUUGCAUCCGAGGCGAAUUCAUCAAAACGACGAUAGAAGUCGGCGAACCGUGAAGGACUACUGGGAGCACUGAGGGAGCAAUCGCCAAAACGUUUGGGAGUAGAAGGAGCGCUCAAGAAUGGCAUAGGUCUUGCAUCAUUGAAGUCGAAAUCCAUGGUAGGUGGAGGUACUACCACUUCCAUCUUCAACAUGUUUGAUACUAUUUAGAAAUGGGGGAGAGGCAGAUUUGUGUUUGGAAGGAGGGAAAUAUAAAUAUAAAUAUAUAGAGAAGAAGAGAGCAAGGAAAGGAGAGGGAAAGAGCAGAAAAGAGAUGGAGCAAGAUGAUAAUGUUGACCAUUU